GGGUUAUGCUUCCGUAGUGACCUGCGGAAGGAUCAUUACUUAUUCAUCGGAAGUGAGUCCAGGUGGGCGAUGGAGGUAUGGGCAACCAUGCUUACCAUACGCCCCUUCACUCUUCAUGAACAUCCCAUCUGUGUAUCAAACCUCUGUUGCUUCCCGUACGGCGUAGCCUGCAAGGGCUACCCUGCGGGGAGGAUAUUAUAAACUCUGGUUGUUGUAUUGUUAGUCUGAGUGGUACACACAUUAAACAAGUUAAAACUUUCAACAACGGAUCUCUUGGUUCUCGCAUCGAUGAAGAACGCAGCGAAAUGCGAUAAGUAGUGUGAAUUGCAGAAUUCAGUGAAUCAUCGAAUCUUUGAACGCACAUUGCGCCUUCUGGUAUUCCGGGAGGCAUGCCUGUUCGAGCGUCAUCAAACACAUCCUCAAGCACCUUUUGCUUGGUAUUGGAGGAAGAUGUCUGCAUCUCCUCUCAAAUCCCUCAGCGGAAACUACUGCAGUCUCAGGUGUCAUAAGAUUACCUUUCGCUUGAUCACUGCCGGUAGGUUCUUGCUGUGAAGAGCCCCCCAGCUAUUCUUUCAUGUUUGACCUCGAAUCAGGUAGGGAUACCCGCUGAACUUAAGCUAAAGG
rnacentral:rRNA from 1 species